GAUGAACGCUGGCGGCGUGCCUAAUACAUGCAAGUCGAACGAAUGGAUUAAGAGCUUGCUCUUAUGAAGUUAGCGGCGGACGGGUGAGUAACACGUGGGUAACCUGCCCAUAAGACUGGGAUAACUCCGGGAAACCGGGGCUAAUACCGGAUAACAUUUUGAACCGCAUGGUUCGAAAUUGAAAGGCGGCUUCGGCUGUCACUUAUGGAUGGACCCGCGUCGCAUUAGCUAGUUGGUGAGGUAACGGCUCACCAAGGCAACGAUGCGUAGCCGACCGGAGAGGGUGAUCGGCAAGACUGGGACUGAGACACGGCCCAGACGCCUACGGGAGGCAGCAGUAGGGAAUCUUCCGCAAUGGACGAAAGUCUGACGGCGCAACGCCGCGUGAGUGAUGAAGGCUUUCGGGUCGUAAAACUCUGUUGUUAGGGAAGAACAAGUGCUAGUUGAAUAAGCUGGCACCUUGACGGUACCUAACCAGAAAGCCACGGCUAACUACGUGCCAGCCGCCGCGGUAA
rnacentral:rRNA from 1 species